UACGAAGGGAGCUAGCGUUGUUCGGAAUCACUGGGCGUAAAGCGCACGUAGGCGGAUGUGUCAGUCAGGGGUGAAAUCCCGGAGCUCAACUUCGGAACUGCCUCUGAUACAGCACGUCUUGAGUCCGAUAGAGGUGGGUGGAAUUCCUAGUGUAGAGGUGAAAUUCGUAGAUAUUAGGAAGAACACCGGUGGCGAAGGCGGCCCACUGGAUAGGUACUGACGCUGAGGUGCGAAAGCGUGGGGAGCAAACAGG
rnacentral:rRNA from 1 species